GUAGGUGGCAAGCGUUGUCCGGAAUUAUUGGGCGUAAAGCGCGCGCAGGCGGUUCUUUAAGUCUGAUGUGAAAGCCCACGGCUCAACCGUGGAGGGUCAUUGGAAACUGGAGAACUUGAGUACAGAAGAGGAAAGCGGAAUUCCACGUGUAGAGGUGAAAUGCGUAGAGAUGUGGAGGAACACCAGUGGCGAAGGCGGCUUUCUGGUCUGUAACUGACGCUGAGGCGCGAAAGCGUGGGGAGCAAACAGGGAUUAGAUACCCUGGUAGUCCACGCCGUAAACGAUGAGUGCUAAGUGUUAGGGGGGUUUCCGCCCCCUUAGUGCUGCAGCUAACGCAUUAAGCACUCCGCCUGGGGAGUACGGCCGCAAGGCUG
rnacentral:rRNA from 1 species